rnacentral:rRNA from 1 species
AUUGAACGCUGGCGGCAGGCCUAACACAUGCAAGUCGAACGAGUGGCGGACGGGUGAGUAAUGUCUGGGAAACUGCCUGAUGGAGGGGGAUAACUACUGGAAACGGUAGCUAAUACCGCAUACCAUCGGAUGUGCCCAGAUGGGAUUAGCUAGUAGGUGGGGUAACGGCUCACCUAGGCGACGAUCCCUAGCUGGUCUGAGAGGAUGACGAGCCACACGGGAACUGAGACACGGUCCAGACUACUACGGGAGGCAGCAGUGGGGAAUAUUGCACAAUGGGCGCAAGCCUGAUGCAGCCAUGCCGCGUGGAUGAAGAAGGCCUUGGGGUUGUAAAGUACGUUCAGCGGGGAGGCGUUACUCGCAGAAGAAGCACCGGCUAACUCCGUGCCAGCAGCCGCGGUAAUAC